AUUGAACGCUGGCGGCAGGCCUAACACAUGCAAGUCGAACGAGUGGCGGACGGGUGAGUAAUGUCUGGGAACCUGCCCGAUGGCGGGGGAUAACUACUGGAAACGGUAGCUAAUACCGCAUACCAUCGGAUGUGCCCAGAUGGGAUUAGCUAGUGGGUGGGGUAACGGCUCACCUAGGCGACGAUCCGUAGCUGGUCUGAGAGGAUGACCAGCCACACUGGAACUGAGACACGGCCCAGACUCCUACGGGAGGCAGCAGUGGGGAAUAUUGGACAAUGGGGGCAAGCCUGAUCCAGCCAUGCCGCGUGUAUGAAGAAGGCCUUCGGGUUGUAAAGUACUUUCAGCGGGGAGGCGUUACCCGCAGAAGAAGCACCGGCUAACUCCGUGCCAGCAGCCGCGGUAAUAC
rnacentral:rRNA from 1 species